GACGUAGGGCGCGAGCGUUGUCCGGAUUUAUUGGGCGUAAAGAGCUCGUAGGCGGCUUGUCGCGUCGACUGUGAAAUCCCGCGGCUCAACUGCGGGUCUGCAGUCGAUACGGGCAGGCUAGAGUUCGGUAGGGGAGACUGGAAUUCCUGGUGUAGCGGUGAAAUGCGCAGAUAUCAGGAGGAACACCAGCGGCGAAGGCGGCGCUCUGGGCCGGAACUGACGCUGAGGAGCGAAAGCGUGGGGAGCAAACAGG
rnacentral:rRNA from 1 species